UAGGGAAUCUUCGGCAAUGGACGGAAGUCUGACCGAGCAACGCCGCGUGAGUGAAGAAGGGUUUCGGAUCGUAAAGCUCUGUUGUUAGAGAAGAACGUUGGUAGGAGUGGAAAAUCUACCAAGUGACGGUAACUAACCAGAAAGGGACGGCUAACUACGUGCCAGCAGCCGCGGUAAUACGUAGGUCCCGUGCGUUGUCCGGAUUUAUUGGGCGUAAAGCGAGCGCAGGCGGUUCUUUAAGUCUGAAGUUAAAGGCAGUGGCUUAACCAUUGUACGCUUUGGAAACUGGAGGACUUGAGUGCAGAAGGGGAGAGUGGAAUUCCAUGUGUAGCGGUGAAAUGCGUAGAUAUAUGGAGGAACACCGGUGGCGAAAGCGGCUCUCUGGUCUGUAACUGACGCUGAGGCUCGAAAGCGUGGGGAGCAAACAGG
rnacentral:rRNA from 1 species